CACAUUGGUUAGGGGGACAGCAAGUGUUCGCAAACCACACGUUCAUAACUGCGUGCAGUGCUGUUAGCUCAGGCUCUGGGGUGGCCCAGUUUCCAAGUCUGCUCCGUGUCCUUUACCAGCUCCAAAUCUGUCCUCCCUCCAGUGGCUUGGGUUAGGGACCCCAAACGUCUGGCCCAAGGUGAGGCCUUGGUGAAAACACUGGUUGCCCCCCAAGUGUCUGGGACACUGGGCUCAGCUCUGAGCUCAGCUCUAGAUUUAGUAUCAGGCUGACUCACUGCUCCUUCCCCCACUAGAAGGGCUCUGGCUGUUGUAGGUCACUGCCCAGCUGGGUACUGUGUACACACACAAAGGCAUGCCCAGGUCUUCCCUUCCCCUUUGCCCCUUCUCCUCUGACCCACCACAGCCUCCAGAUUUGGGGAGUCCUGGUUCCAGAGGCCUUAGGGCCAAAGUCAUUUCCAGCAGUCCCUCCACAGCAGCGUGUGCUCCCAGGGAAGGCAAACCUUGAUGAAAAGGCCAUAGUGCUGAAGGUAACCUGCACCCUGGGUCAGAGAAGAAAUGGGGAGCAGGUCUCUCAGGGACUCGAGUCUUCCUAAAGGUCUGGAACCCUCAGAAUUUGGAUGGGAAGAAGCCCUUAGCACAGUAAACCCGAGGUGCAGACCUAUGACCUGGACCCCAGCAACUCUGCCUUCUGCCUGCAACACACAAUGACCUGCCAGGGGCAAGAGGCCUGGAGAACCAUAAAGUUGCCCCAUUUGUGGAUAGAAGCUAGGCCUCCUGAAAAUCAUCAGCCAAAAUCUGCCUCAGCCUAGGGAGGGGCUACAUUCAACGAAUCAGUUCAACUCAGUGAGUUUAAGAAUUGGUUUAUUCUUAUAAAUGCUUAUAAUGAAUCAAUAGCUAAAAAUUAGAAAAUAUUUUGUUGUCAAUUAUUUUUAAUUUGCUUUGUGGAUUGUGUUUUAGUAUUCAGUUAAUAUACUGGAGACUUUAAUUAACUCAUUUACUCUUUGAUCUGUCAUUCAAGUUUGCCUAUUUGUCCAGGGAGGUCCCCCUGGGCCCCGGCUAUGAGGACACCAGGUCCCUUCACCUGUUCCUAUGAGCAUGGCUCUGAACAUAAACAUGGGUUCUCCCCAAAGGAAAUUCUCUCUAUGGCUUUUAUGUAGAAUUGCCUGAAUAUUUUUCCUCUCUUCAUUUUUCACUGGAUUUUGACUAAGCUUUGCUUAUGAUCAAGAACAAGUUAACCGGGGUGGUGCCUGUGGCUCAAGGAGUAGGGCGCCAGCCCCAUAUACCAGCCCCAUAUACCGGAGGUGGUGUGUUUAAACCCAGCCCCGGCCAAAAACUGCGAAAAAAGAAAAGCAAGUUAAUUUUAUUCAGUAUAAACCAGAUAAGGAACUCAGGCCUCAAAGAUGGUGGCAAUGUUGCUGCUACAGUCACCGCAGAGUUGGGAACUACUGGCUUUGUGGAGCAAGAGUGCUCAGAGCCAAGACCUUUCUUUCCUGACCUGUUCCCUGCCUAGAGCUUUCAUCCAUUUCCAGCAACAUUAAUUACAGAAUAUGGAACUCCUGAACAAGACAGGCCCUACACAAGGUAUUUAUUUUCUAAAAUAAAUCUUACAACAAUCUCAUGAGAUAGGAAUUAUUAUUAUUCCCAUUUUACUGAUGAGGAAAAAGACUCAGGAAAAGAUUAAGUCACAGAACUUGUAAAUGGUAGAACUCAGGUUUGAACCAAGUUGGUCUGACUCCUAACCUGUGUUACCCCUUGGUAUCCACCUUUUCUCCUAUAUCAGGCUGUCAUAGAGGGGCUGAGUCAUCCUUAAGUUGCCAAAUCUGGUUGAUAUACUUCAUCAGCGUCCAGGUUUAGGAAAUCUGGGUUAACCCAAAGCAUGGAUUGAUAGUGCCAUGUUUACUAGUGCUUAACUUUUGCAAAUAUAAGUUUCUGGUCUUGCAAAAGGAGACACAACCAUGAUCCCACCAACUCUGGGGCUCUAACUACCUCCUCCCUCUGUGGCACUUCUGACCUCUUUCCUUGAGGGAAGGAAGA